rnacentral:rRNA from 1 species
UACGUAGGGGGCAAGCGUUGUCCGGAAUCAUUGGGCGUAAAGCGCGUGUAGGCGGUUCGGUAAGUCUGCUGUGAAAGUCCAGGGCUCAACCCUGGGAUGCCGGUGGAUACUGUCGGGCUAGAGUGCGGAAGAGGCGAGUGGAAUUCCCGGUGUAGCGGUGAAAUGCGCAGAUAUCGGGAAGAACACCCGUGGCUAAGGCGGCUCUCUAGUACGGUACUGACGCUGAGACGCGAAAGCGUGGGGAGCGAACAGG